rnacentral:lncRNA from 1 species
GACUUCUCACUGUCUGUCUGUCUGUCUCUGCUGCCCCCCUUCACAUCUUUGUUUUCCCCUGUACUUUCUGAGUGACGCGGGCACCUCGUAUGUGACCCUUUGCUUGCGUUACCUGUGAGCGCUGAGAACAGCUUUCAGUUAACAGUUGGAUGGUGGUAAUAACUGAGUACACAGUGGGGUCUGUUCUUUGUGGGGGGCUCUGCAGACAGCAGGAGGAACGUCCCCACUGGAAUACCUCGUGACAAGGGCUGAUGUGGUGUAUAGAAUAUACGUUUUGACGUCAGCACUCUAAGUAAAUUACUUUGCUAUAGCAGUUUUCUCCAGCCCAUGAGCUGCCACCAAAUCAUAGGCCUAAGGAAGGUGACUUGAGAUAACAAAGAACAUACAACCUGCUACUUUAUUUGAAAGUGUGUCCUUUAAUAAGGUGGGGGAAACUCACAGUAUACAAAUUGCAUUUUGGAAAGUGUUGCCAGUCUGGGUAGAGCAGACUUGAGCGCUCUUCCUCCAGAGCUGGGCUGGCCACCACGAGGGAUGGCCAGCCGGUGGGGGCCUCGGGGCCUAGCAAAGAUUGUCAGUUUUAUUUUAAAUUAGGGCCUUAAAGAUGUGCUCAGCUGGGUGACAGGGACGCCUUCCUUUGAAUCUAGUCUCCGCUCUUCCUGUGUGGUUCAGGGCUGGUUCUCGCCGACCCCACUUGGGAGGUAGGUUGUGACUUGCCAGCGUCAACAUCAUGUCGUGGGGUGGGGCCUUCAGAGUCUGUGGUGUUCUCUGUGGGUCAAGAGCAAGACAGUUCUUGCUGCGAAAGCAAAAAUCUUUUUAAGGUUUUAUGUUUAAAGCCAGAGCAAAGUCUCAGCAGAAAAAAAGGGAGAAUAUAUGUGUUUUUAGCAGAACUUCACCCACUUACUGCUAUGGUGUCCGCCCGGCGUCUGCUGAAUGCUGUGGGAGUGAGCCAGCCCUUCCGGCCCGGCAUAGCGCUGGGCAGUGACUGGGAACCAGGAGGAGAGGCAGGUGCUCAGGUAUGUCUAUAUUAGCCCUUCUGGAAAACAGCCCCACUUGCAGGUGAGGGAACUGCCUGGGGACAGACACCUGCUACCAGCCAGACUCUGCACACUUACAUCAGGUUCCUUUUGGGGGCCAGAAAAGAUCAUAACUUGUAUCUUUUGUACAUAAGAGAGGAGAAUCCAUGUGCCUUUAUUUCUCUGAGACAUCUUGGUUUCACUUCAAAAUUCUCCUUCCACCAAAACAAAUAAGCAAGAAGUAAUACAACCCCCUCCAAAAGAUCCCUUCUCGCAGGGCCACCAAUACAGUUGUGUGGACAGUGUACUGCACAAGCCUGGGGCACAUUUGGAGUUCUGCCUGUGAGCAGCUGGAACACCGCAGCCCCACUCACCAGUGUCUCCUUGUUUGUGACACCCCCAAAUGAGACUGAGGGAUGACGAUGACAGGAUAGGUGGCCCUCUGGGGCCGGGGCCCUUCCCCUGUCCCCCUGCAAUUUGUAUCUUUGGGCCCCAGGUGACUGGUGAUUCCUGGGCUGGGUGUCAUGUCUCAGGAUAGUUUUCUUUUAGGCCAGGUAAGGAGGGAAUGGAGAAGCACCUUGUUCUCAGCACCGAAGCCUCUGUGUGUAAAAACGGGAACCUCUGUGAAAGCCGAGGAAUGUAGAAUUCACUUGUAUUACAAAGGUGGAUGGGUACAACUGGGGAUUUAGAGAGGAGCAAACACCCAGGUACAUUUGGAAAUAAUUUCUCGCUAAACGAAUAGUUUAAAAUCCUUGCUGAAUAUAAAUUAGAGGUUUCUCUACUGGAUUAAAUAGAAAAUAACUCUGAGAUCUUCUGGAACUUUUCUUCUAAGGAUUGGGUGCAGGGCAGUGCUCCUGGGUCUGUACAUAGUUGCUGCUGGGCACCUUAAAGCCCCAGUUCGUGCUGG